rnacentral:ribozyme from 1 species
UUUUUUUUUUUUUUUUUUUUUUUUUUUUUUUUUUUGUUUAAUGCACCUUUAAUGCA